AAUCAAAAAAAAAAAAAAAAAGAAAAAAGAAAACUAAAAAUCACUUAAUAUUAAAGGAUUUCUCGAACCAUCAAUGUCAUGAUGUUUUAAUCCGUCCUGAUGCAAGUGUAUUAUCUUAUUUGUUGAAUCUCAUCUGGGAAAGUGUCAUAUAAACCUUUGACAGAUUUCUCAGAAGAAUCUGGAAAAAUUUUACAACCUAAAAGAAAUAACACUGCUGCCCUCACCCUAUUUUCUAAAGAAGACAUUUGAUCCAAAACAACAUUUUUUAGAGUAUUUAAUCAAAAACCCUAUUUUUGACAUUCAAGUUAGUUACCCCAGGAAGUACUCUCCAAAAUAUCAGCAGCACAUGUUUCAACGGCUAGAAGGGGAUGGCCAACAAUUGGCAAACCCAAAAUGUACAAGAUGUUUGUUGGACCUACCCAACGGCUUUUCAAGGAUUGGUUGCGGGUUUUUGUCCCAUUUUUCACAUUGAGUAAACAUUUGGUAGAUCGCCGGCGACAUUUCUAGUAGAAACGAAAGCAUGUCUUUUGAAGGCUUCCCUUCAUUUAUUUCAGCUCAGCUUCAUUAUCUCAUUGGCAACUCCCAUCAAGGUUGAACAACUAUGGUCUGGUUGCAAGUACAUGGGAAGUCUUGAUCGUUUCACCUUGCUCAUCCACUUGAUGUCUUGACACUAUCAAAUCUGUUUUUUUUUUUCCUUUUUUUACCGGGGAUGUUAUAUGCAAUGCGGACUUUCCACUGGCUGCACCUGAUGUUAUUUUUGGACCUGAAGACCAAGAGUUUCAUCCAUUUCAUGAUGAUGUCACCGCAACAAAGAAUAGUUUAUCUGAUUGGAACAACAAAGAUUUCACACAGCUAUUUGUUCUUAUUCAGGAAUUGAGGGAUCAGUACAUGUCCUACCAGAGGAAGCGUGUUGGAGAGGUGGAUGGUGAAUGAUUAAAAUUUGAAAUUAAUACUAUGUUAUCUAGGGAGGGUGUUGAAAUGCAUGAGUUCAGGUUUCGGAAAGGUAUUUAUCAUAUUAACAGGUUUAAAUCUGUUUAAUUUACCUAAGAAAACCAUGUAGCAUAUUGUUUCGUUUAUAUUUGCGCUUUCCUUGCCUCUGAAUUUUAGUGUAGCCAGAGGAUGUCAAAUUUGAUGUACCUCUUUUGGACAUGAAUAUAAACAAAUAGUGGUUGGGUGUCCAUAUACUUGCAGGUUCCAUUCUCAUAUUCUGUUGCUUCAAGUUUCUUUUCCUUUGUCUUUCUUAUCUUUUGUGUGUGUGUUUCUUCUCUCCUGCUACAUUUAUUUUCCCUGUAUUUAUGUUGUGUUGUGCACUUACUGAUGGAUGCAGGUUGUAUAUCCUGUUAAUAGAAAGCAUGUUUGUGCUCCUUCAGCACCUCAUCUUAAAUUAAUGUCAACUGCUGCUAAGUUAAAGUCUUUGUUUUCUAUUAAAGAUGUCAAACUACCUUCUUGGUCAGAUGGAAUGUGCAUGGUCGUAAAUUGCUUCAUCUGGAAGAGUCCCUGCAGAGACAGGUCUUGGAGGCAGUCUCAUUAAUUGAUGUCAGAAGGCGUUUUAUUGAAGCAUCAGCCCCUCUAUUAGGAAGACCAGUAGAAACUGAUUCGGUUUUUUUACAGAAAGGCUAUGUUUUUUGUUGCCUCUGGAGCUUUCUCAUUCCUGUGAUCAAUCAACUUUGAUGUUUGGAAAAAACUAUUGCCGAAUUAAGUACACAGUUUCCAAAACAGCUGCCUGCUUUGAUGCUUCAAAGUUCCCUGGUGAUGAUACUUACUAAAUCUAUUACUUGUCUAGAAUCUUAGACGCAGCUACUUGUCUAGAAAUCUUAGACGCAGCUUUUAGUAUGACUGAAUUAAAAAAAAAAAAAACACAUUUGUUGCUGUACCUGAUUGCCAAACUUGCGGUAUUUCAACUCUCAAAGUAUGCCAAUCAAGUCUCCUCUUCUAACAGAAUAUCUGUGGAGUCCAAGAUGAGAAUAAUUCCAAAUGGCUGAGCAAAUAUUUUAAUUUUUUGUGGACGAAUCUCUUUACUUCAAAAUAUGCUGCAGCGAAGGUCUCUGACAGUGUGGUGGAUGCAACUCUCUCCGUGCUCUAGUUGGUAGAGAAUGUUGAUGAAUUCAUGGUCCUUGACAAUGAAGCACUUUAAGAUAUUUGCUUCCGGACUCACUCCAAGCAUUGGAGACUUGAAUCACUUAAUCUCUGCAACCAUGAUUGGUGUAACUUGCUGCCUGAGGUUCCUUGGCCAGCUGAAUUCUGAUCUCCGGAAGCUGGCUGUAAAUUUGAUCCCAUUCCCACUUCUUCAUUUCUUUAUGGUGGAUUUUGCACCACUCCACGUGGAUCACAGCAAUAAAUCUCCCUAGCUGUCCCAGAGCUUACACAACAAAUGUGGGAUUCUAACAACAUGAUGUGUGCUGCUGAUCUCCGCCGUGGUUGGUACCUGACAGAGUACCCCAAAUAUUCUAUCAUUCGGAUCAAGUGUUAUUAAAAUCUAUUAUUAUGCACGAAUAGGAUAAUCAAAAUUAAUCCAUAACUACAACUACUAGGAAGAAUGGUGGCCGGUGGGGAGUAUGAAGAGGGCGUUGAGGAACAGGAUGAGCUAUGAGAAGUGAAACAAGGCCCAUCUACUACUAAUACGAAACACAAUAUUGGUCCUUUUGAGUUUGACACAUUAACUACAACUAGUAGGAGCAAUAGUGGUGCUUCUUCACUCCAAAAUUACAUACAUGCAUAUUCAACGAUUAACACCAUCUCAAUUAAGUUCAUUUGACUCAGCCAA